rnacentral:rRNA from 1 species
ACGAACUGUGCGAACGUUAUUCGGAAUCACUGGGCUUAAAGGGUGCGUAGGCGGGUUUGAAGGUCUGAUGUGAAAGCCCACGGCUCAACCGUGGAAUUGCGUUGGAAACCACAAGCCUUGAGGGAGUCAGAGGUGAGCGGAACUCACGGUGGAGCGGUGAAAUGCGUUGAUAUCGUGAGGAACACCGGUGGCGAAAGCGGCUCACUGGGACUCUUCUGACGCUGAGGCACGAAAGCCAGGGGAGCGAACGGG